ACUGACGCUCAUGCACGAAAGCGUGGGGAGCAAACCGGAUUAGAUACCCUGGUAGUCCACACCCUAAACGAUGUCUACUAGUNGUGGGUCUUCAUUGACUUAGUAACGAAGCUAACGCGUGAAGUAGACCGCCUGGGGAGUACGGCCGCAAGGUUAAAACUCAAAGGAAUUGACGGGGACCCGCACAAGCGGUGGAUGAUGUGGAUUAAUUCGAUGCAACGCGAAAAACCUUACCUACCCUUGACAUGUCAGGAAGUCCGCAGAGAUGUGGAUGUGCUCGAAAGAGAAUCUGAACACAGGUGCUGCAUGGCUGUCGUCAGCUCGUGUCGUGAGAUGUUGGGUUAAGUCCCGCAACGAGCGCAACCCUUGUCAUUAGUUGCUACGAAAGGGCACUCUAAUGAGACUGCCGGUGACAAACCGGAGGAAGGUGGGGAUGACGUCAAGUCCUCAUGGCCCUUAUGGGUAGGGCUUCACACGUCAUACAAUGGUCGGUACAGAGGGCUGCCAACCCGCGAGGGGGAGCUAAUCCUUUAAAACCGAUCGUAGUCCGGAUUGUAGUCUGCAACUCGACUGCAUGAAGUCGGAAUCGCUAGUAAUCGCGGAUCAGAAUGUCGCGGUGAAUACGUUCCCGGGUCUUGUACACACCGCCCGUCACACCAUGGGAGCGGGUUUUACCAGAAGUAGCUAGCCUAACCGCAAGGAGGGCGGUUACCACGGUAGGAUUCG
rnacentral:rRNA from 1 species